UACGUAGGGUGCGAGCGUUAAUCGGAAUUACUGGGCGUAAAGCGUGCGCAGGCGGUUCGUUGUGUCGGUGGUGAAAUCCCCGGGCUUAACCUGGGAAUGGCCAUGGAAACUGGCGAACUGGAGUGCGGCAGAGGGGGGUGGAAUUCCGCGUGUAGCAGUGAAAUGCGUAGAGAUGCGGAGGAACACCGAUGGCGAAGGCAGCCCCCUGGGUCAAUACUGACGCUCAUGCACGAAAGCGUGGGGAGCAAACAGG
rnacentral:rRNA from 1 species